rnacentral:tRNA from 1 species
GGGCGCUUGGGUGAGUCACAAUCACAUCUUUGUCUAUGAAAGAAUAAAGGUCUAACAGAAAUUCAGUCUAGGGGUAUGAUUUUCGCUUCGCAUACUUUAAAUGUGCGUACUUGUGAAAGGUCGUGGGUUCAAUUCCCACAGCGUCCA